rnacentral:rRNA from 1 species
CUACGGGUGGCUGCAGUGGGGAAUAUUGGGCAAUGGGCGCAAGCCUGACCCAGCAACGCCGCGUGAGGGAAGAAGGUUUUCGGAUUGUAAACCUCUGUCCUUGGGGACGAAGAAGUGACGGUACCCAAGGAGGAAGCUCCGGCUAACUACGUGCCAGCAGCCGCGGUAAUACGUAGGGAGCAAGCGUUGUCCGGAAUUACUGGGCGUAUAGGGUGCGUAGGCGGCAUAUUAAGUCAGGUGUGAAAUACUCGGGCUCAACCCGGGGGCUGCAUUUGAAACUGAGAUGCUUGAGUGUGAGAGAGGAAAGUGGAAUUCCUAGUGUAGCGGGGGAAUGCGUAGAUAUUAGGAGGAACACCAGUGGCGAAGGCGACUUUCUGGCUCAUAACUGACGCUGAGGCACGAAAGCGUGGGGAGCAAACAGGAUUAGAUACCCGAGUAGUC